rnacentral:misc_RNA from 1 species
CUACCAUCUAUACCCUCUCUACCACCAGUCCUACCUGACAGACGGUUUAUUCCCACUUUCCUCCCUCCAUCCCCGUACUCUUCGGGUGGACGGUAUCCUAACCUUGCUUCUGGACGGUCUGCUUUCUCAAUCAAUCCGGUUUCUUCUUCCGCUCGGUACUCAUCUACCCUACCCCUCGCAGGAGCUCGGCCGUCUGUACCACCAAGAAAUCAAAGGAAAGAUGAAUUUUUGCCAUCUUGUCCACGAGAAAGCUAGAACAGACUUGUUUUGUUGGUACCAGCUAGAUAGAAAGAAAGGACAGACUCGCUAACGCUCACACAUCGUUAAGGUUUUGCUCUUUUACGCCCACCAGAGUCAUGUUUUCUUCGCCCUCUCCGACCAACCAAUAGUUGCUCCACCACUCUUCCCCAAGUCCGUACUAACUGGACUCGCUUCUAUUCUCGAUUGGAUAUAGAUGGGGAAUCUCUAUAGAUCGUCUUUUUCGACAACCUCUCUAAAACGCAUACGAUAAAAUUGCACUUCACGGCACGGCCAAAAAAAGAAAGAGCUUCGCUCGGUU